GCCCAGGUGGCGGAAUUGGUAGACGCGCUGGUCUCAAACACCAGUGGUGAAAACCGUGCCGGUUCGAUCCCGGCCCUGGGUA
rnacentral:tRNA from 1 species